rnacentral:rRNA from 1 species
AUGUCGUUUGGGCUCGCUGCUGCACCCCCAACCUUCAUUGGAGCAGUUACUUGUACUCUGCGACCACUCCUGCGAGAAUGCGUCAUACUCUUCUUCGAUGACAUUCUAGUUUUCAGUAAAACACUGAAACAACAUGUGGAACAUCUCCGUCAGGUGCUGCAACUACUCAGAAGGGACCAUUGGCAAGUUAAACAAUCGAAGUGUGCUUUUGGGCAGAGACAAAUCACGUAUCUGGAGCAUGUCAUCAGUGAACAGGGUGUCGCCACAGAUCCAUCGAAAAUAGAGACUGUCAGGAAGUGGCCUGUUUCUCACAACACUAAAGAGGUGGGUAGCUUCCUCGGACUGGCUGGGUAUUAUCGGAAAUUCGUCAAACAUUUCGGCAUCAUCGCGAGACCACUCUUCAACUUGCUGAAAAAGAACCACCCCUUUGUUUGGACUGCUGAAACGGCUAAAGCAUUGAAACUUUUGAAACAGAGUCUGAUUUCUGCUCCAGUUUUGCACCUGCCAGACUUCUCCAAACUGUUUGUCAUUGACACUGAUGCGUGCGAUUAUGGGGUGGGAGCAGUGUUGCAACAAGCAAGACACCCGAUUGCUUAUAUGAGCAAACCACUAGCUCCCAAGCACAGAGGCCUCUCUACCUAUGAAAAGGAAUGUUUGGCGAUUUUAAUGGCAGUAGAGCAAUGA